CUUCAGUAAUUUCUUUGGGUCCUCAAUUCUCCAAUUAUAAAUUUUAAAAUGUUGUGGAACUUACAUUUCAUCAUGAUUAUAAGCACAUUACCAUGUAAGUCAAUUGUUUUGUAUCUUUAUCAUAUGUACUAGUGGUGUGGGGAGUUAUUUCCACAUUUGGUCACUCUUGACAUCCUUGUUUUUGUGUGUUUGCUUUUAAUUGCACACAGUUAAGCAGUGUGUCUCUUCUCUCUGCAGGGGCCAAUUCACAGAUUGUCCUCACUCAGUCAGGCCCAGAAAUGAAAAAGCCUGGAGAAUCUGUGAGGUUAACCUGUGCCACGAAAGGUUUUGAUCUUAGCAGCUAUUGGAUGUACUGGGUCCGGCAGUCUCCAGGAAAAGGGCUGGAAUGGCUGGUUUACUAUUACACCCCAUCCAGCAACUACUACUCCCCAACCAUCCAAGGGCGUUUCACUGCCUCCAAGGACAGCACCAACCUUUAUCUUCAAAUGAACACCCUGAAGCCAGAAGACACUGCCGUCUAUUACUGUGCCAGAGA
rnacentral:lncRNA from 1 species